UUGGUUUCGAGCGACUCCCGAGAUCCCCAGCCCUGGAGACCAGGACGUGUUUGAUGAGGAAGCAGACGAAUCUCUGUUAGUGCAGCGGGAAUGGCAGGAUCACAUGAGGAAACGAGUCCAAGUUUCCUUGGCAUCCGUUACAACUGGUUCCUUACUUUUAGGAAGGUUACAGAGAUGGGAUAGAUGCUGGCAAAGCAGUAACCCUUCAACAGGGCUUCAAUCAAGGCUAUAAAGAGGGUGCCGAUGUCAUUUUAAACUACGGACUACUCAGGGGAACAUUGAGCGCUUUGCUUUCCUGGUGUCACCUUCAUGGUAAUAGUUCAACGCUGAUUGGCAAGAUAAAUAACCUUCUGGAUGCAGUUGGCCAGUGUGAAGAGUGUGUGAUCAAACAUCUGAAAUCAGUUACGUCACCGCCACACAUUACAGAUUUAUUGGACUCCAUUGAGGAUCUGGACCUUUGUCAUGUAGUCCCGCCUGAGAAAGCUGUUGAAGCAAGAGGUGACACUAGUGCUGACAUUAGCACAGAUGCUGACAGGAGUCCGAAUGGGAUGGAUUGUUCACAUCCAGAAUGUUGCAGAACACAAGAGCAUGCGCAUUUGGAAAAAGCCAAGCCUCACUUGGAUUCUGGAACAGACAUCCAACUUGGUGAAACAGCUGGGAAUAUCAGUAGACAUAUUACAGCACCUGAGACAACUGUAAAAUUAUCUCCCCCUUUCCAGAG
rnacentral:lncRNA from 1 species